GACGAACCGUGCGAACGUUGUUCGGAAUCACUGGGCUUAAAGGGCGCGUAGGCGGGCCCUCAAGUCCGGGGUGAAAGCCUCCCGCUUAACGGGAGAAGAGCCUCGGAGACUGAGGGCCUCGAGGGAGGUAGGGGCGUGCGGAACUAUGGGUGGAGCGGUGAAAUGCAUUGAUAUCCAUAGGAACUCCGGUGGCGAAGGCGGCACGCUGGACCUCUUCUGACGCUGAGGCGCGAAAGCCAGGGGAGCAAACGGG
rnacentral:rRNA from 1 species